rnacentral:rRNA from 1 species
AUUGAACGCUGGCGGCAUGCUUUACACAUGCAAGUCGAACGGUAACGCGGGGGCAACCCUGGCGACGAGUGGCGAACGGGUGAGUAAUACAUCGGAACGUGCCCAGUAGUGGGGGAUAGCUCGGCGAAAGCCGGAUUAAUACCGCAUACGACCUAAGGGUGAAAGCGGGGGACCGUAAGGCCUCGCGCUAUUGGAGCGGCCGAUGGCAGAUUAGCUUGUUGGUGAGGUAAAGGCUUACCAAGGCGACGAUCUGUAGCUGGUCUGAGAGGACGACCAGCCACACUGGGACUGAGACACGGCCCAGACUCCUACGGGAGGCAGCAGUGGGGAAUUUUGGACAAUGGGCGCAAGCCUGAUCCAGCAAUGCCGCGUGUGUGAUGAAGGCCUUCGGGUUGUAAAGCACUUUUGGUAGGAACGAAACGGUCUGGGCUAAUACCCCGGACUAAUGACGGUACCUGCAGAAUAAGCACCGGCUAACUACGUGCCAGCCGCCGCCGUAA